rnacentral:rRNA from 1 species
UACAGAGGUCCCGAGCGUUGUUCGGAUUUAUUGGGCGUAAAGGGUGCGUAGGCGGCGGAGUAAGUUGGGUGUGAAAUCCCGGGGCUCAACCUCGGAAUGGCAUUCAAUACUGCUUCGCUAGAGUACUGGAGAGGAGGCUGGAAUUUACGGUGUAGCAGUGAAAUGCGUAGAUAUCGUAAGGAACACCGGUGGCGAAGGCGGCGUUCUGGACUGCAACUGACACUGAGGAACGAAAGCCAGGGGAGCAAACGGG